rnacentral:rRNA from 1 species
GAUGAACGCUGGCGGCGUGCCUAAUACAUGCAAGUCGAGCGAACAGACGAGGAGCUUGCUCCUCUGACGUUAGCGGCGGACGGGUGAGUAACACGUGGAUAACCUACCUAUAAGACUGGGAUAACUUCGGGAAACCGGAGCUAAUACCGGAUAAUAUAUUGAUCCGCAUGGUUCAAUAGUGAAAGACGGUUUUGCUGUCACUUAUAGAUGGAUCCGCGCCGCAUUAGCUAGUUGGUAAGGUAACGGCUUACCAAGGCAACGAUGCGUAGCCGACCUGAGAGGGUGAUCGGCCACACUGGAACUGAGACACGGUCCAGACUCCUACGGGAGGCAGCAGUAGGGAAUCUUCCGCAAUGGGCGAAAGCCUGACGGAGCAACGCAGCGUGAGUGAUGAAGGUCUUCGGAUCGUAAAACUCUGUUAUUAGGGAAGAACAAAUGUGUAAGUAACUAUGCACGUCUUGACGGUACCUAAUCAGAAAGCCACGGCUAACUACGUG